AAUUAAAUUUGUAUGGGCCGCGACACCCAUCAAAUUUUGGCGCCGUUGCCGUGGACCAACGGUUCGGUUUUGGGUCUUUUGUUGUGUUAGUGUGUGUUGUUUUGUCUUGUUUUGUGAGUGUGAUGUUCUGUUUUGUGUGUUCGUCAUUGUGUGUUGCAUUUAGGUAGCUUUAGUUGCAUAUUAUCAUUGCAUUCUUCCCCUUCCCCUUUUUCUAUAUGUCUACAACAACGAUCCUGGAUGGAAUGAUCCUAGCUUGAGAUGGUAUGAUGCUCCACAGAAAUAUCAGCCAUUCCAGAAUUCUUGUGUUCCU
rnacentral:lncRNA from 1 species